AUGGCGAGCCCCGCGCGCAUCGACGUGGAUAAGCUGAGCGUGGAGCAGCUUAAGGCGCUCAAGGAGCAGACCGAUCUGGAGGUCAAUCUCCUCCAGGACAGCCUAUCCAAGAUCCGCACCGCCGCCACCCGCCUCGAGAACGCCACGGCCGCCCUCCACGAGCUCUCCCUCCACCCCCAAGGGAAGAAGCUGCUCGUGCCGCUCACGGCGUCCCUCUAUGUACCCGGCACGCUCGACGACGCCGAGAAGGUCCUCGUCGACGUUGGCACCGGCUACUACAUUGAGAAAACUAUGACUCAAGGAAAAGAAUACUGUGAAAGGAAAAUUAAUUUGCUGAAGUCCAACUUCGAUGAACUACUUGAGAUGGCGACCAAAAAGAAGAGCAUAGCAGACGAAAUGGGCAUGUUUCUGCAAGCCAAGCUGAGGCAGGCAUCACCGAGCUCGAGUUCGUGA
rnacentral:rRNA from 1 species